rnacentral:rRNA from 1 species
CAGCAGCCGCGGGAAUACGUAGGGUGCGAGCGUUAAUCGGAAUUACUGGGCGUAAAGCGUGCGCAGGCGGUGCUGCAAGACCGAUGUGAAAGCCCCGGGCUUAACCUGGGAACUGCAUUGGUGACUGCAGCGCUGGAGUAUGGCAGAGGGGGGUGGAAUUCCACGUGUAGCAGUGAAAUGCGUAGAGAUGUGGAGGAACACCGAUGGCGAAGGCAGCCCCCUGGGCCAAUACUGACGCUCAUGCACGAAAGCGUGGGGAGCAAACAGGAUUAGAUACCCGGGUAGUCCCUGUCUCUUAUAC